rnacentral:rRNA from 1 species
UACGUAGGGUGCAAGCGUUAAUCGGAAUUACUGGGCGUAAAGCGUGCGCAGGCGGUUUUGUAAGACUGUCGUGAAAUCCCCGGGCUUAACCUGGGAAUGGCGAUGGUGACUGCAAGGCUGGAGUACGGCAGAGGAGACUGGAAUUCCUGGUGUAGCAGUGAAAUGCGUAGAUAUCAGGAGGAAUACCGAUGGCGAAGGCAGGUCUCUGGGCUGAUACUGACGCUCAUGCACGAAAGCGUGGGGAGCAAACAGG